CUCCUUCUCCGCCACUGCAGGCUUUGGGCAGAGGCAGGAACCAGCUAGCUUAAGGAGUUUGGAUGUUUACCCCUUGGUGCUGAGGUGCUUUCGGCCCCCAGUGAAACCGUGCAAACAACUUCGUAGUGGGAUUCUGCAGGGUGGCCCGGAGAAUGUGGAGGAGCCGGCCGGAGGUGGAGGUAGGCAGGAGGGGUACACACCAGUGUCAGUUCAGGAGGCCUGCACAGGAAUGUCUGCUUCUGAUAACAGAAACCGAAGCGAUUCCCAAUUUUAUUUUAUUUUAUUUUUCCCCCUUGAGUAGCUAAAUGCCUUUUCUGAGUAAAGGAAGAGACAACUUCGAAUGGGUGGAGGAAGAAGCUGAAACCAAUGUCAGAUCUAUUUAGUUCUAGACACCCAGGGAGCUCUUGAUAGAUAUACAUAUCCAGCAGACAGCACUAUGCAUUGACGCCAGGUGGAGACCUCAGCUUUCCCUUGAGAGAUAUAAUCCAGAUUCUGGACAUGGAAGCAGGAAGACCACUCAUUAAAGGUCUGCCUGGGAAAUUUAAUGAGGCCAGCAGCUCAAAAUAAAAGAAGUAGAAAGAGGGCUAGUGACAUAGUGCAAUAGUAGCAUGCUCACCCAGCAUGUGCCCUAUCCCAGCAUCAUUAAAUAGGCAAAUAAAUAAGCAGACUAUUGGCAACUUCUGAACACAGAGGCAACCAGGCCCGUGGGAGAGUGUGGACUGGUAUCCCCUCUGUAAGAGCAGCCCAGGUUCUCUCCUCUUCAAGCCUAUUUCCAACUGAUUGUUUGUAACCUCUCCAUUAUUUCCUCCAAAGACAAGGAAGGAUGUGACUUGAAAGUCCCCUUUGGAAGAAAAGAGGGGCUGGCUGGCUGGGAAAGCAAUUGGGCACCUGGAGCUCCAGUCCCAAUAUUGACUAUGUAGGUUUGGGCAGGACUCUAAACAUCUUUGAGAUUUUCACAGACGUGAAAUGUUAUAAUAACAUGUAUCUCCCUGGGCUACUGUGAAGAGUCCAUGAAGAAGAGCAUGUGAAUUCUUCUGAGAGUCAUAAAAUAGAUGGUUCACUCUGCCGUACUUUAAAGGAACAUAAAUGGUCUAAGGUCGGAAGGAACCCUGCUCCUGGAUUAUUUAGUAUUUCAACAACAACAAUCUACUGAAAGUGAGCUCUUGACAGCGUGAGAAGGAGGACCUCUAGUGUGAAGACAAGAGAGAAUCUGAUUAUCUCUCUCUUCUGAUUAUUCUCAUGUAGCCCAGGCUAGCCUGGCACUGUGUAGCUCAAGAUGACCUUGCUGACCCCUGUUGCUUCAGAUUCUGGGUUGCAUACCAGAUACCCCAUGGUGGAGCAAGGGUGUGAGACAUUCCGUGUACACCCUGCACUUCAAGAACCGAAGAAACUUCUGAAGGUACAAGACCCAGUCUGCACAUUCCAGAGGGAUGAUGAGUCCCUGAAAAGUCAAACAACACCCUUACCUAUUUUGAAGAUAUUUACUGGCUCCGGAGCGGAACCAAUCAUUCUCAGAGUGGUGUGACAUUUAGAGAGUGUCAUGAGGUGUCACAGGAGAUGGCUUGGAGAAGCCAGUACAGGCUUUGAACCUCCCACCUUGAUCCUGGGACAACUCUCACCUCGGGAAGGACAACAAAGGCACCGGUCAUCACUGUGAGCACUAUGUUAAUCCCAAAUAGCCACCUCAGGAAGAUGAAGUAGGAGGCCACACCAGACCCGAAGUGACCUACGGAAAGACAACGGAGAGUGGCUCUGCUCAACCCUCACAGCACAGAGAGCCUUCUCACUCACCUUCAGCAGCAGCAAACACAGGAAGAGUGAUGUCAUAUGGUGCCCCCCACCCCCACUGUUGGCUGCUUAGCUGGGUCAGCAUCCUGUGCCUGGUCCCUGGUUCUGUAUACAGCUCUGGUUGACUCAAACACUGACAACCUUCCCAGUGCUGUACCCAUUUGAAUAUGCUGAGUCAAACUUACUAACUCAUGGGUUAAGAGACUUUCAUAUUCUGUAAUAUGCUGCAUUACUUUGCAUAUUCCAAGGUUUUUCUAAGGUCCUUUGCCUUAAUUUCAACAUGGAAACUAUUGUGGUGUUUACUGGUGUAGUCAGAUAAAGGGUAUGUAGAAACUC
rnacentral:lncRNA from 1 species